UACGAAGGGGGCUAGCGUUGUUCGGAAUUACUGGGCGUAAAGGGCGUGUAGGCGGCCCGUUAAGACAGGUGUGAAAUUCCUGGGCUCAACCCAGGACGUGCGCCUGUGACUGGCGGGCUUGAGUCCCGGAGAGGAUGGUGGAACUCCCAGUGUAGAGGUGAAAUUCGUAGAUAUUGGGAAGAACACCCGUGGCGAAGGCGGCCAUCUGGCCCGGUACUGACGCUAAGGCGCGACAGCGUGGGGAGCAAACAGG
rnacentral:misc_RNA from 1 species